AGCUUUGCCCAGUGGCAGUAUUGUAGCCAAUGAGGUUUAUCCGAGGCACGAUUAUUGCUAAUUGGAAAAAAAAAAGAGGAGGGAGGCUAUUUCUAGAACAUUUUACAUGGGAGGCACUCCAGUUAACCAAUGUGUUAACAAAU